GCCAUUUUCCCUGCCGCCACACAUGCACAAAUGGCCUCUGCGAGGCCUGGCAUGGUCCAGGCCCUCACAGAGGCCAUUUUCGCAUUGGGAGCCAUUAAUUUUUUUUUUUAAGAUAGUUAUACAGGCUGCAGCAGUGAUAAACGAGUCUGGAGGGGGGUAGGGGGAGCCUUCAUGGACCCCACCAUGGCCUAGAGAAAGCCUCCCAAAGGGGCUAAAGCUUUCAGAAUUUCAGGGUGAGAUGAAGCAAAAAUCUGAAACCGCCCCACAGAAGGGAAAAAUAAAACAGCUCUCUUUGAAAGGAGGUGUGCAACUCAGAUCUAUCCAUGCUUAUGCCCAACUUAUGGAACCAGCAGAGUGAAUUGCUUAGAAGAAAGACUCAUUUCAGUUCAGCUUAAUUCAGAUUCUCCAGCCGUGCACUAGAACAACUGAGCUAUGAAAUUGGGCGGCCUGUUUUGUGACAAUAAUGAGGAGAUAAUAUUCCUAGGGAACAUUUAAGUGACAUGAUUAUUGAUAGGUUAAUUACAAAUAAAAUUGUAAAGCUUUAAAAAACCAUUAAAAUAAAGAGUCUCGGAUGUAUGCCACAU